CUUACUCAAGUGGUUUCCCGGACUGGGAGAAAAGGCAGAAUUAUGCAAUACCGUCGGGUAGCUGUUUGCUCACUGGUGGUCACCUCAAGGCUCAGGGGAUGGCACUAACAGUCCUACUUGCUGCCCAUCCCUGAGAGAACCUCAGUGACUGCGGGUAAGCUCCACUGCUUUCCACUGAAGUUUUCCCAGCUCUUGGGAACAGAAGGGAGCUGUCCUGGUCAUCCAGCACACAUCUCCUGGACAGCUCAGGUGUUUGCUUUGAAAGAGAUUUUUCUCUCCCCUGCCAGUAUGCUCAGAAAAUAGAGUGGCACCAAUUUCAGGACCUGCAGUUCAAAUUCCUGACUUCUCAGUCAGAGGCUGUGAAUCAUCUUCUUCUAGUGAUAAGCAGGUCAUUCAGCCUUGCGGCUUCUGCUCACAACCUGACCAUGAGCUAACUGAAGUCAAGGGAGUUUCUCCCCUGGUUCUGAACUGGACCUACACAGCUACUUACAGACUGAAAAACCAGUGCCCUGUGGAAGUACAAAGUCUUUUGUGUUAGCUUUUUCAUCUCUUCUUCUAAUGAAAAUAACUUGCAGUUUGGGGUGCACAGAGAUCAUUCCAGUGGCAAAAGCUGGGUUUCUUCUUCCUUUCUUCCAUGAGCAGAGUGAGAUCAUCCAGAGUGAGAAAAUGCACUACAAGAAGCUCUGAGUUAGCCAAAUAAUGAUGCUUGUGCUGGUUUGUGCUGCCUUCCAAGGCAGUGCAUAGGCAAAGCCCAAAGAGCAGCAAUUCAAAUCAGAUACCAAUUUGACUUCAGUGUAAAUGUGUCUGUCAUAUUGACUGCUGGAGCACUUAAGUAUGGACUUAAAAUUAAGUCUAUGCUUAUGCAAUGUCCUGAAUAAAACCACUUUCCUGCA